ACCCCACUUAAUGUGAUUAAAUGGGGUGUGGGAUUAGAGGGGAGAAGAGGGAGGGGUGUACGCCCCUCCCUUGCUUGCGUGAGAAGAAAAGGAGGGGGCUACGCCCCUCCUUGCUUGCCACCUAAAGGGAUAAGAAUGAGUUCCUUAAAAAUAGGAACUCAUCUUUAUCCCUUAAUACUUCAAAAAGGAGCAUAGGANN
rnacentral:lncRNA from 1 species